rnacentral:tRNA from 1 species
GGGAGCGUUCCCGAGUGGCCAAAGGGGACAGACUGUAAAUCUGCUGCAUAAUUGCUUCGGUGGUCCGAAUCCACCCGCUCCCACCA